rnacentral:rRNA from 1 species
CCUUGGGAGGGAACAACAGCUGGAAACGGCUGCUAAUACCCGUAGGCUGAGGAGCAAAAGGAGGAAUCCGCCCGAGGAGGGGCUCGCGUCUGAUUAGCUAGUUGGUGAGGUAAUAGCUUACCAAGACGAUGAUCAGUAGCCGGUCCGAGAGGAUGAUCAGCCACACUGGGACUGAGACACGGCCCAG